GGAUAGCUGGUCUGAGAGGAUGGUCAGCCACACUGGGACUGAGACACUGCCCAGACUCCUACGGGAGGCUGCAGUCGAGAAUCAUUCGCAAUGCGCGCAAGCGUGACGAUGCGACGCCGCGUGGAGGAUGACGGCCUUCGGGUUGUAAACUCCUGUCAUGAGGGAACAAAGCUUGCGGGUUAAUACCCCGGGAGUGUGAUGGUACCCUCAAGAGGAAGUCACGGCUAACUCUGUGCCAGCAGCCGCGGUAAUACAGAGGUGGCAAGCGUUGUCCGGAUUUACUGGGCGUAAAGGGUGCGUAGGCAGUACGGUAUGUAGGAUGUGAAAUCUCGCAGCUCAACUGUGAAACGUCAUUCGAAACUGCCGAACUAGAGUACUGGAGAGGAGAGCGGAAAUUCUUGGAGUAAGCGGUGAAAUGCGUAGAUAUCAAGAAGAACACCGGUGGCGAAGGCGGCUCUCUGGACAGUUACUGACGCUGAGGUACGAAAGCCAGGGGAGCGAAGAGGAUUAGAUACCCUCGUAGUCCUGGCAGUAAACGAUGUGCACUUGGUGUGGGGAGGAGUUAUCCCCUUUCCGUACCGGAGUUAACGCGUUAAGUGCACCGCCUGGGGAGUACGGCCGCAAGGCUAAAACUCAAAGGAAUUGACGGGGGCCCGCACAAGCGGUGGAGCAUGUGGCUUAAUUCGAUGCAACGCGAAGAACCUUACCUGGGUUUGACAUGCCCGUCGUAUUCUCCUGAAGGGGAGAAGUCAGUUCGGCUGGACGGUGCACAGGUGCUGCAUGGCUGUCGUCAGCUCGCGCCGUGAGGUGUUGGGUUAAGUCCCGCAACGAGCGCAACCCUUGUGUUUAGUUGCCACUCCCGAUUCUGUCGGGAAGCACUCUAGACAGACUGCCCGUGACAAGCGGGAGGAAGGAGGGGAUGACGUCAAGUCAGUAUGGUCCUUAUACCCAGGGCUGCACACGUGCUACAAUGGCCGGUACAGAGGUCGGUGACGCCGCGAGGCGAAGCAUAUCCCCUAAACCGGUCUUAGUUCGGAUCGCAGUCUGCAAUUCGACUGCGUGAAGUUGGAAUCGCUAGUAAAUGCGUAUCAGCAACGGCGCAUUAAAUUCGUUCCCGGGCGUGGUACACACCGCCCGUCACAUCAUGAA
rnacentral:rRNA from 1 species